AUUGAACGCUAGCGGGAUGCCUUACACAUGCAAGUCGAACGGAGUGGCGAACGGGUGAGUAAUGUAUCGGAACGUGCCCAGUAGCGGGGGAUAACUACGCGAAAGCGUAGCUAAUAACGCAUACUAUUGGAGCGGCCGAUAUCGGAUUAGCUAGGUGGUGGGGUAACGGCUCAGCACGGCGACGAUCUGGAGCUGGUUUGAGAGGGCGACGAGCCAAACUGGUACUGAGACACGGCCCAGACUCCUACGUGAGACAGCGGUGGGGAAAUUUGGACAAUGGGGUAAACCCUAAACGAACCAGCGCGCGUGAGCGAUGAAGGCCUGCGAGUUGUAAAGCACUGUUGGCAGGAAAGCGGUACCUGCAGAAUAAGCACCGGCUAACUACGUGCCAGCAGCCGCGGUAAUUC
rnacentral:rRNA from 1 species